rnacentral:tRNA from 1 species
AAGCAUUUAACUCAACUGGUAGAGUAUUUUGUUUACACCAAAAAAGUUAGAGGUUCGAAUCCUCUAAUGCUUA